rnacentral:lncRNA from 1 species
GUAUGUGAUGGUUAUUUCUUUUUGGGUUUGUUGAUAAUCAUUUGUACAGAAACCACAAAGGAAAUAAUCAGUUUUUGUUAUUUCCAGUGAUUUCUUUAUGUGGUUCUUGUUUUAGAUUAACCAGGUGGCCAACCAAAACCCUUGCGCGAUUGGGUUGGGUGGUUGGUAGUGCAAGGUAGGAAGAUUUGGGUUGUUGUGGGAGUUGGU